rnacentral:misc_RNA from 1 species
UGUAGGAGUGAGCCUGCUCGCGAUAGCGGUGUGUCAGGCAACACAAAUGCAGACUGACAGGCCCCCAUCGCGAGCAGGCUCACUCCUACA